rnacentral:tRNA from 1 species
GCCCGAGUAGUUCAACGGCAGAACGAAGCCAUGGUAAGGCUUAGACAAGAGUUCAACUCUCUUCUCGGGCU